AUGUGUCCUCAGCAACUGUCUUCUCGCCUCCCCCAGGGAAUUAAGCAGCCCAGCGCCUCCAGCCUCGGAAGCUUCCAAGAAGAACCUCACACUGGCGCCCUGUGGCACGUAUGUGUGCGGGUGGGAGCCCCGCGCGCCAGGGAGUCUGCGGAGCGCCCAGGCCUGUGCCGUCGCUGCCUCGUGCUUCUGCGGUUCUGCUCUGCUGGCUCAUCCACAUGUCUGGGCUGCACCGAUCUCACCUGCACUUCUGAGUCUGGAGACACAUGCCAGGAUGCCCACGUGGACACACGCAUGGCCCUGAAGAUGCUGCAGGAGCCCCGAGUGCCACGAAGAAAGGCAAACGGAGAGGGGAGCCAGCACCUAGUCCCCCCAGGGCACCCAGGAUGCCCGCCUGCCCGCCCAUCGGCCUGCUGCCAGCAAGCCCACCUUUCAACAUACCCCUCUGCACUAGGGCACCAUCUCCAGACGGCCCUUGGGGAGGCAAAUGUUCUUCUGGGGAAAAGAAGGCCUCCCCAUCCCGGCCGGUUAUUCCCUUCACAAGCAAGCUUGUGACAAACGUGUCUUUUUGAACAAUACUUCUGCAAAAUGAGCACUAGGCUGGGAGUCAAGUGGGCUGGAUGGUAAUCCCAGCGCGGCCGUCUCAGAGAACGGUCGCCGGUGAGACCCAGGACUCUCCGCUAGUACACAGAGAUGUGUACCUGCUGUUUUCACCAUGUGUGUCCGUGCAUAUAUUCCCACAUCUGCGUGUGUGUGUGUGUGUGUUUGACUAGCACACUGGACCCCUGGCUUCACAAAUAUUGCUUAAGACAAGGCUAAAAUAUACAUUUAAAUUUUUUUAAUGAUUUUACUUAUUUAUUCAUGGGAGACACAGAGAGAGGCAGAGACACAGGCAGAGGGAGAAGCAGGCUCCAUGCAGGGAGCCCAAAGCAGGACUCGAUCCCGGGACCCGGGGAUCACGCCCUGGGCUGACGGCAAGCAGGCGCCCAACUGCUGAGCCACCCAGGCGUCCCUCACACAUUUGAAUUUUAAAGUGAGCCAGUUUCAAGAAAAACAUUAAGUAAGUGAGAGUAAAGACUGGCACCUGAGUGUGAUAAGAGUCCUAGGAAGCUGCCAAAUGACUGCUGCCCUGGGUCAGAGGUUCUCUGAGACCCUUCCAUCUCCCUCAGGCAGUGGGUUCAAGGCCCCAGGCCUCUCAGAACAAGAAAUACACAGAGUGACCCCUGGUUCCCACUAUUGUCCUCGUCAUCACCGCGACAGACUGUCCCAUGGAGUGGCAGGAGAAGUUGCCAAGGGGGAAGUUGGAUGCUCCCUCCUGGCCACAGGCCCCCAAAGACCUCAAAGGACACAAUGUCCACAGCUGUGUCCCCUCGGGUGAUUCAGGCCAGAUCAGGCUAGGGCACGGGGGUGCCCCAGAUUGAAGGUGGACGUAGCCAGGGUCCAAGCAGAGAUGGCUCGGGAGGGGCCCGAGAUGUCCCAGGGGGCCCAGCAGCCACAUUCUGUGGGACCAGGGGAGGGCUCUCUGCACCCGCCAGGCCGGUGAUUCAGGGAUCCC
ensembl:lncRNA